rnacentral:rRNA from 1 species
GACGAACCGUGCGAACGUUGUUCGGAAUCACUGGGCUUAAAGGGCGCGUAGGCGGGUUCUCAAGUCCGGGGUGAAAUCCCACGGCUCAACCGUGGAAGCGCCUUGGAUACUGGGGAUCUCGAGGGGGGUAGGGGCGCGCGGAACUUCCGGUGGAGCGGUGAAAUGCGUAGAUAUCGGAAGGAACACCGGUGGCGAAAGCGGCGCGCUGGACCCCUUCUGACGCUGAGGCGCGAAAGCCAGGGGAGCAAACGGG